UCUACUCACACUCUCUUGUGUCCUGUGUGUCUUAGUACUGGUCCAAUAAGAACAUUAGAAAAAUAAAUGGCUGGUAUGUUCCAUUAGUUUCUUUGUGAAAUGUGUUUCUAAACACCUCAGGAAAGAAAAUGAAGACAUCUAUUCCAGCAGCACGCAGAUUUCCUCCACUGACUAAAAAGAGGCUUCGAGGGUAUUCUAAUGUUAUCUACAGAGCUCAUAAAGAGGUUAGUCCAGCUGGGAUGAGGAGUUCAGACUUCCUGGUGAGUCGGGGGCUCAGCUUUCCCAGGCCAGUUCUUCUUAAACUGGUGAGCUCAGAAGCAUCUCGACUGUCAAAGACCAACAGACUAAAAAUCAUCACACUGCAUGAGAUCAAUGCUGCAGUCACACUUGUACAGAAAAGAAUUUGUUCAAGAGCUGCUGCAUAAAGACUCACAAGUCAAGAGACUUGAGCUAAACAUGUUUUUAUUGUAUAAUAAAAGUUUAUUUUUAAAAUUUU